rnacentral:rRNA from 1 species
AAUGAACGCUGGCGGCGUGCCUAACACAUGCAAGUCGGAUGUGCCCGCAAGGGUGCAUGGCAGACGGGUGAGUAACGCGUGGGGAAUCUACCUCUUUGUGGGGAAUAACGCUCCGAAAGGAGUGGUAAUACCGCAUGAGACCAAUGGCUGGAAUGUUGUUGGUGAAACCUGGGGACCGCAAGGCCUGGGGGCAAGGAGAGGAUCCUGCGUCUGAUUAGCUAGUUGGCGGGGUAACGGCCCACCAAGGCGACGAUCAGUAGCCGGCCUGAGAGGGUGAUCGGCCACACUGGAACUGAGACACGGUCCAGACUCCUACGGGAGGCAGCAGUGGGGAAUUUUGCGCAAUGGGCGAAAGCCUGACGCAGCAACGCCGCGUGGGUGAUGAAGGUCUUCGGAUCGUAAAACCCUGUCGUCGGGGACGAAGGUAAUUCGGUUAACAACUGAGUUGCUUGACGGUACCCGGAGAGGAAGCCCCGGUUAACUCUGUGCCAGCAGCCGCGGUAAAGUCUGU